CACUAUCAGUCAAUGAAAGCAAUUUUGUGCAUAGAACUAUGCAGAGAAUUGAUAUUUGCCUGUCCACAACUCUUGUUCCGAGCAAGUUCAAAGCACCCCAAUGACUUGGCCGGAAAUGGAGUUACACCUCCAGCAGUGUAAAGAUAAAUAAUAACCUUUGUGCGCUCAAAAUUUCCACUCACCACUAGCUAUAGUUAAGUGAAAAUGUAGCACUGGCAAGUAGAAAUUUAGCCAUGGUGUGUCACGCACCCUCCAGGCCUGCAGUGACAAGUAACCAUUAAGGCCUGGCUAUUAGCAAAAGACUUGAAAUUUUAAGUGCUAUCUGCAGUGUUUCAAAGAGAAACACUGCACAUACAGGCUUAAGGCACCAUGACAACUUCAAAUCAUUGAAAUGUCAUGGUGCUUGGAGUAACCAUUUAAAUUGAGCAACUUGUACACAAUGCUUUUUUUGGUUUGUUUUUUAUAAAUAUAGGUCUUCCUUAAAGCGACACUCCAGAAACCUAUACCACUUUCUUUUAAUGACAGCUCACAAUGAAAGAGCAUCCCUAGCUUAAUGCUUAAAUUAAUUCAGAUUUUGGGGGUAAAUCGAGGGAUUCAACAUCUCCAUUGUCCUCACCUCCAUCAGGAAAUUAGCAACCAACCCAGAAUUCUGGUCAAGUGUGCAUGUCCUUGCACAUUUUAACAGAGUCCCUUGUUCUUUGACUUCUAACAAAAAACAGAAAAUACAUGAAAGGCAGCCAACAUGAUGCACCGAUUGUAAAAUGCAUGCAAAAGGAAACAGCAAACAGCACUGUGUUUACUUGCUUAUGUAAACAGUCUUAAUUUUUGUUUCCAUAAAUAAGACCACAUUUUUGGCUCCAUUGAGUAUGCUUCAGAUUUCAAAGUACAGGUUCCUAAGAACACAAGUUUUAGAAAUAUUUGUAUUAUCACCUAUACCAUGCUAGCCAGUUCCUGGUGUGAAAGAGAAUUAAAAAGAGUGGACAUCAGAUCCUUUGGAAAAGAGACAAAAAAGUAAAAUUACUAGAUUAGAAUUAUAUAAAACGAUUACACAUGUGCCUCUCUACAUUAAGUAUGGUAACUGGUCGUCAUUUGUACAUUUAUAUCUGUGCAAACAAGAACAGCAGUGCAUAGUGGAGAGAUAAUGGAAGCCAACAUUUGAAGGGACACUAUAGGCACCCAGAACACUUCAUCUCAUUGAAGUGGUCUGGAUGCAGUGUUCCCCUUAGUCCUGCAAUUUUAUUAAAGACACGGAGGCUCCUAUUAUGCCAUCUCUUUCCUUUAACUUCCCUCAGCAGCGAAGAGAGAGAGAUGUAUACAGAAGAGAAAAAAUAAACAUAACAUUGCAUAGUAACAGUGUAACCAAUGAGCACUCAGCAACCAGUAUAUAAGGUGUAGCACUCCACAACUCUUUCUCUUUUUUCGCUACUCCCACAGACCAGCUAAGUAAAUUUGUUUCACUCUACACUGCUUUUGACACUAGAACUGUUUUACUCUCUUGGUAUGAUUCCAUUUGAUGAAUAUUAUUUGUAUCUGCUUAAGAGUGUAUGAUAUUUGCUUAAUUCUCUGGAGUGUGCUCCGGUGAGUGUUUGUAUUGCGACUGACCAGUCACACUUCUUUCCCCUAGGGGGACCCCUCUCCUGCCUCCCUCUCUGCAUCCCUUUGCCAGCCGAGGGAAGGCAUUAAGAGACCCUCAGCCGUUGUUACCUCUCCGCCCACGGAAUACCGAUCUCAGCGAACCGCCCAUGGCAUUCACCGUGAGGCUAACACUGUACUGAAUGCCUCUCACUAUUGCUGCUGCGCCAUUUUCUUGGAACCAACUUCGCCACCAGUGGCGGCGGCUAUUUUAGUGUGUCCUACGACUAGGAAUCUCAGCACGGUCCAGCGGAAUACGGCUCCUAUCACUCUGGCACACUCCCUGUAUCGUUUUUAAUGCACUCUAUUUUUUUUUGCCUUAAGGUUAUCUCCUCCUAGCUCAACAGUUGGGUGGCUGGAUUAAGCAAAUAACCCCAAAAGGCUGGUUAUAUAUAUUUAUCAUAUACUUGAUUAUUUCCCACCCUCUGUGGGGAUUCUGUGGCUGCGACUUAAUAUGCAAUUAACUGGUGAUGGGCCAGCCGGCCACACCCUUUGAAUGUCACAGGGAAUACUACCCCUAACCCCAUACAUGACGCCAAUACGAUGGCCUCAGAGGAAUUUUAAAGUCUGCUGGAUGUUACUAUGACGAACUCCAACAAGGCCUUAACAUCAGCCAUGGGGGUCACGUCCUCCACGAUUACACAGUCCAAUUCAGGCAUUGAUGCAAGGACACCCUGCCACCCAGUAUCCUCCACAAACCACUGCAACGCUCAGUGUAUCCUUGCUGGGCUGCAAGGCCCUGAGCAAACGUAAACACCUCGAUCCCCAUCCACAUACCCAGGAGACCCCUGGUUUGAAUGACAUGCCUAAGACUGUCUAGGAUGGCGCGCAACAACCGCGCAAUAGAGCCACUGGCCAGGCAAAAGUGGACAGAAAUUGGAAACAGGUGAGAGCCCAAGAGAUAAUUUUCAACUCUGACUAUAGUGAGGAGGAGGGGUCAGACGAGAUACUCUCAGACCUUAUGAGGACGAGGUUUCCGAAGAUGAGAACAAAGUUUGCCCCCGCUUCGUCUAAAUAGGCCCAGAGUUACACGGAUGACCGCCAGGACGUUAAGACUACUAUUAUUCAACCCGGAUGACCUACACCAUCUGCGCUCCACUGAGUGGGAACCACCGGAGCAUAUUGCGCAAUACCUGGCGCUAAGGGACCACAAACCCCUCUCCCAGGAGGGCUGUAAUAAACUGAGGGCCAAUGCCCCCGGCCCAUUAUCCCAGACAUGGUAACCAAGACUCCCGAAGUCGAUGCACAGAUGAAAAACUGUCUGGAAGCUGAAAAAGGACCUAGACUACACCUUACAGAAUUGCCAGGACAAGUUCCUGGACAGAUUAGGCCCUAUUACCAAACUCUACAAACUGCUGUAAACAGCACAAUCGGGAGAAGCUCAACUAGAUUAUGACGUAACGUUUGGAUGGCCGCAACGCCUGAUGUGCAUGGUUGGCAAUGCCAACUCGGCCAUAUCCACUGAAUGCAGGAAAGCUAUCCUGCUCAAAAUAGAGCCAAAAUUGGCUAGCAUGGCUACCAAUGAGCCUGGCAGCCACUAAAGGCCUAUUAUUUGGCUAAUCCUUUGUCAGAUCUUACAUUAAAACCUUCACAGUGCUGGAUCAAGUGCAGAGCUCCAUUAAAAGAGUGUUUCACCAAAAGAUUUUUUGCCUUGAGCAACCCCCGGGGCUUUACCAGACCAGGCAGAGGCUCCAUCCACACACCUAGACCAGUGCAAAAACGCACCUUCAACCUUUUCUUCCCAAAUAGAGGAUGUUCUUGGAAUGCCAGCAGUGGUCGGGGAGUGACCCCGGGAAAACAUCCUUAUGGUGAGUACUGUGAAUCCCCAUUUUCCCAUGUAAAGGUGGGGGGGGAAGACUAGCUCUGUUUCACCAAGCUUGGACUAUGAUUACAACACACUACCCAGGGGUAUUCUUUAGAAUUAACCGCUUUACACAUACAGGACACCCCGCUUCGGGUGCUCAUGAUGUCCACAGAGCAUCACGAUCUAAUCUCCAUGGAGAUCAAGGAAUUGAGGGCAAAGAACUAUAGAGAGGAAAUCCCUUGGGAUAUGCCAGGGUUUGUGAGCAACCUAUUUUAUUGUAUGCAAUAGAAUAAAAACAGGCUUGCAAAGCCCCAACAGCCAUGGCAAGCAUUUGGUAAUAAACACGGUAAUACAUUGUUGUGACAAUGAAUGUACUGGCACAAUUUUAGAAAAUACAAAAUAAACAAAUGUUGUAACUGAAGUGCAAAGCAUGGGCAUGCAUUAUGUAUGGACAAUCAAGGACUGGUUGUGUAACAUAAGUAGUGUUGCUGUCAGGUAAUAAGUGCUAGACAUGGUGGGUACAGGUGAGACAAACAUGACAUGUUAUAGAUGAGACAGAGUAGCUGUGAUACCACCGGAGCCUAGUGGCACGCUGCAGCUCUCAAGAGGGUAAAGAAGAAGAGAAUGGUAAGCUCACGGAUAGAGAUCACAAUAAUCACAGACUGUCCAAUAUGAUGUGUUGUGAGAAUGCAUCUGCCGUGGUCGGAUCAGAGUGAAGCUCAGGCAAGUUGUCAGCUGAUGCCGAAGAGAGGUAAGACAGGAGCCUGUCUUGGGGGUCCUGAGCAACCUCUUUCUUGUCCCAAAAAAGGAAUGAGUCGUCUGACCAGUCGGCCUUUGUCCAAUAUCAGCAUUUCAAUAUGGAAGGCAUUCACUGCUUCAGAGUCCUGCUACCACCUGCGGAUUGGUCAAACUCAACCCGAAAGAUGCGUACCUGACAAUUCCCGUGGCAGAGGAAACAGGGACCUGCUACAAUUCCGAUGGAAACCGAACCUGUGCCCGAUUGCAUGUCUGAAGGAAUAUGAAUUGCGCACAACUCCAUUGUGUCUAUCACAGGACAGCCCAUUAUUCAUCUCAUUCAAGAGACCUCACCUACCGGUGUCUACACGUACUAUGGCUCGCUGGGCCAAAUGGCUGUUAACUUCAGCCGGAAUUGAUACCACAAUUUUCUCCUCUCAUUCAGUCAGAGGCGCUAUGGCCUUGAAAGCGUCGACUAUAGGUUCUAGAUUAGAAGACAUUUUGAGGGCUGCAGAUUGGUCUACGGAAUCCACUUUCCCAAAUUACUACUUCAGACCUAUUCAACGCUUCUCAGAGUUAGUUGUGGUUCGGCUUUAAAAUAGCAUAAUAGGAGCCUCUGUGUCUUUAAUAAAAUUCCCAGAUUUUACUAUUAAAAUGCCGUAAAGUCAUGAUUUUAUUAAUGACACAGAGGAGAGUAUUAUUCCCACCCUCCCUCGGGUUGGGACAUUGGGAUGAUUUUUACUGAACGACAACAUAUAUAACAUAUAUACUCGAGUAUAAGUCGACCCGAAUAUAAGUCGAGACCCCUAAUUUUACCCCCCAAAACUGGGAAAACUUAUUGACUCGAGUAUAAGACUAGGGUGGGAAAUGCAGCAGCUACUGGCAAAUUUCUAAAUAAAAUUAGAUCCUCAAAAAAUUAUUUUAAUUGAAUAUUUAUUUACAGUGUGUG
rnacentral:lncRNA from 1 species